rnacentral:lncRNA from 1 species
CAAUCCCAAGUACUACUUCAAAGGUCCUAAAAAGCCAUCCAGGAUUAACAGGAGAAUCAGAAUGACAAAGAGAGAACAAAUAGAACUUUCUGGGAAACAAGGAAUAAGAAAGUGGAGUAGUAAAGAGAUCAGUGUGGUUUUCCCUAGAGCUUCCUGGGCAGAGCACAGAAAAGGCAGGUUGCCUAUGGAGAGCUACAAAUUGAAGGGUUUCUUAAUCAACCCACAGCUGACUUGAUCCUCAGACACAGACAACACUGAAAGCCCAGAAGAAUGCGAAUCUUAAACACGCUACAUCUUGAGAAUUAAGCUCUUACAUAUCUGGAUACUCAAGUUAUUUAUUUUUGUAAGAAAAAAUUUACAAGGCUCCUUUUUAAUGUGAGCCAGUAGAGCAGCCUUAUGUACAUUGAGAAGAUAUAAACCUAGGAGCAGGAUCACUCCAGCUCACUAAAUGAAUUAAGAUCAUCAGACAUGCCCCGGGACCAUUGUGGAAUCUAAUAUAUAACAUCGGGAGAGUUUAUUUUUCCAUGUAUGCUUCUUCCAAUUACUGUAUAUUCUAGCACUGCCACUUCAUGUAACAUUAUGUAAAGAAUUCUCUAUUAAAGUUACAGCAAUAAACUCCCGUACUUCUGGUCCACUUUGCAUGGGAUAAACACCCCACACGUGUUCUUCAUUUCAAGUGUAUUUCAUCUGCGCUUGCUGUCAUUCAGGUUAGAUAACCAAUAUAACAUCACGGAAAGUAAUGUGAUGCAGAAGAUACUAUUAGUAUUAUUAUUUUAUCUGGACUUUUAAUCCAUCUUGCAAGAAUGU